UUCAGUUUUUAGAGUAGAGCGGAACAGUUUUUUCGGAGAAGACGACGCGAUCAUUCGUCCGUCCUUCGCUAAGUUUACUUCAGCGGUAGACGGGGGUUCAUCACAAUUCCUUUCAAGUGAUCAUGGACAGGUUACAUAUAUUGAUGCUUGUCGUCAUGGUAACACUACUCGGUUUCUUUACAUCGUCUGAUGCUGGGCGUGGAGAUGGAUGCAGAUACUACAGUAAGAUGUGUAAGUACCAAGGCACACGCUAUGAACGCUGGGAUACAUGGUCAACCAAAAAUUGCUACGACUGUACGUGUCUCGGGAAAGGAUACGGGUACAAAUGCUGUCAAGAUUACUGGCUACCGAUGAUCUUUGAUGAAGACCAAUGCGAGGCCGUGUGGGAUAAGAAGACGUGCUCGUACUCAGUCCAACCCAGGAACCCAACAGACACAAAGCCCUGUGAAAUAUUCGCCGGGAUCCUGAAAUAGAUAUAGCGCCAUCUAUAGACAACUACUUUAUUGUAUUUCUUAUUUCUUACAAAGCAGUAUUCAAUAUUAUUAUCUAU